UUUUUACACUUGAUCUCUGAACUUUCAGGUAAGUUAAUGUUUGACAAUUUCAGUCGCUGAUGCU
rfam:Medicago truncatula strain A17 chromosome 4, whole genome shotgun sequence.